rnacentral:rRNA from 1 species
ACCUGGCUCACACCGGUUUAAACUCAGAUCAUGUAAAAUUCUAAAGGUCGAACAGACCUAAUUUAUCAGCUUCUUCGCCAAUAAUUAAUUUUAAUCCAACAUCGAGGUCGCAAUCUUUUAUUUCGAUAAGAACUCUAAAAAAAAUUACGCUGUUAUCCCUAAGGUAAUUUAAUCUUUUAAUCUAUACUUUAGGAUCAUAUAUUCAUAAAUAAAUGGUCUCAUACAAAAAAAGUUCAUUUAAUUUUUUCAUCACCCCAAUAAAAUAUUUUUACAGUUAAAAUAAUUACAUAAACCUUAUAUUUCAAUCAACCUAAAAAUAUAAAACUCUAUAGGGUCUUCUCGUCUUCUAUAAACAUUUAAGCUUUUUAACUUAAAAAUAAAAUUCUAAUAAAUUUUUACAGAGACAGAAACUUUUUCAUCAGACCCUUCAUUCCAGCUUUCAAUUAAAAAACUAAUGAUUAUGCUACCUUUGCACGGUUAAUAUACCGCGGCCAUUCAACUUCUCAUUGGGCAGGCCAGACUUAAAAUCAUAAUCA